CGACUCCUACGGGGGGCAGCAGUGAGGAAUAUUGGUCAAUGGGCGGUAGCCUAAACCAGCCAAGUAGCGUGAAGGAUGAAGGUUCUAUGGAUUGUAAACUUCUUUUAUAAAGGACUAAAGUGAGGCACGUGUGCCUUUUUGUAUGUACUUUAUGAAUAAGGAUCGGCUAACUCCGUGCCAGCAGCCGCGGUAAUACGUAGGAUCCGAGCGUUAUCCGGAUUUAUUGGGUUUAAAGGGAGCGUAGAUGGGUUGUUAAGUCAGUUGU
rnacentral:rRNA from 1 species